GGUUGACCUCGGAUCAGGUAGGAGUUACCCGCUGAACUUAAGCAUAUCAAUAAGCGGAGGAAAAGAAACCAACCGGGAUUGCCUCAGUAACGGCGAGUGAAGCGGCAAGAGCUCAAAUUUGAAAUCUGGCCCCCUCCGGGGUCCGAGUUGUAAUUUGCAGAGGAUGCUUCGGGUGCGGUCCCCGUCUAAGUGCCCUGGAACGGGCCGUCAUAGAGGGUGAGAA
rnacentral:rRNA from 1 species